AACGAACGCUGGCGGCGUGGAUAAGACAUGCAAGUCGGACGAGAUUUUCCGUUGUAGCAAUACGAUGGAAAGUCUAGUGGCGAACGGGUGCUUAACACGUGGGCAACCUGCCAGGAAGUGGGGGAUAGCUCGCCGAAAGGCGAAUUAAUACCGCAUGUGAUUAGAGUGGACAUCCAUUCGAAAUUAAAGUCGGGGCAACCUGACGCUUCCUGUGGGGCCCGCGGCCUAUCAGCUAGUUGGUGUGGUAAUGGCUCACCAAGGCUUUGACGGGUAGCUGGUCUGAGAGGACGACCAGCCACACUGGGACUGAGACACGGCCCAGACACCUACGGGUGGCAGCAGUCGAGAAUUUUUCUCAAUGGGGGAAACCCUGAAGGAGCGACGCCGCGUGGAGGAUGAAGGUCUUCGGAUUGUAAACUCCUGUCAUUGGGGAACAAUGCGCAGAUAUUAACUGUAUUUGCGUUGAUAGUACCCGAAGAGGAAGAGGCGGCUAACUCUGUGCCAGCAGCCGCGGUAAUACAGAGGUCUCAAGCGUUGUUCGGAUUCAUUGGGC
rnacentral:rRNA from 1 species